UUCACUUUCAGGUGUAUGCUUCUAUGACUCUUUUCAUUCAAGAUGUUAACGAUGAGGUGCCCCAGUUUAGGGGAACCCCUUACAGAGCCAGCAUCAGUGAGGAUGCCCCGAACGGCACUUUGGUCUUUGAUGGGACACAGACUGUGGAUCCAGAUACAGGAAUAGGAGGAAGUGUUUCUUAUUCUCUUGAGUUGACAGAUGAGGCUUACAGGUCGACCUUCAGAACUACA